rnacentral:lncRNA from 1 species
GUCUUUGAGGAAUCGUCACACUGCCUUCCACAUGGAAAGGACACAAAUGGUUGAACUGAUUUACACUCCCACCAACUGUGUAUAAGUGUGCCUUUUUCUCCACAACCAGCAUGAAGACUAGAAGAAAAAGAAUGGAAGAAAGAAGUGAAAGAGAAACAAAUAGGGAAGGGGAUCCCUCGGAUGACUGGGAAGGAAAGGAAAACCAGAAAAAGCAGUCAGGAUGAAUGCCUGACAAAAAACUCUGCUGCAGUGACACUUUGACAUGAAGCAGAUUCAAACUUUCUACGACUGAACAGGACAUUUUCCAUUUAUUGCUCCUUUGAUACCCAAGCUCCUCAAUGGGGGUAUUCUUCAAUGAGACACUUUUACCAGUGAUCAUAUUCUUGCUUGUUGGUUUCUUUUUUUUUUAAAGUAUGUUGCUGCUGUACUUUUAAGAAAGUUGUGUUUUAUCUUAGUACUUUGGUAUUCAUAAGUGGUAUAAAGCAUAAUUUUACCACAUAGCUUUAAUGGAAUACUUUUUACAAACAAAAUAAAACUUGACCUUCUUCCA